rnacentral:rRNA from 1 species
CAGGACGAACGCUGGCGGCGUGCCUAACACAUGCAAGUCGAACGGGGAUUUGUUUCGGCAGAAUCCUAGUGGCGAACGGGUGAGUAACGCGUAGGCAACCUGCCCUCCGGCCGGGGACAACACUCCGAAAGGGGUGCUAAUACCGGAUACGGAGAUAAUACCGCAUGGUGAUAUUUUGAAAGAUGGCCUCUAUUUAUAAGCUAUCGCCGGGGGAUGGGCCUGCGUCCGAUUAGCUGGUUGGUGGGGUAACGGCCUACCAAGGCGACGAUCGGUAGCCGGUCUGAGAGGAUGAACGGCCACAUUGGGACUGAGACACGGCCCAGACUCCUACGGGAGGCAGCAGUGGGGAAUCUUCCGCAAUGGGCGCAAGCCUGACGGAGCAACGCCGCCGUGAGUGAGGAAGUUCUUCGGAACGUAAAGCUCUGUUGUUCCUGACGAACCUCCCCUCUAUCAACAACGGAGGGGACUGACGGUAGGGAACGAGGAAGCCACGGCUAACUACGUGCCAGCCGCCGC